GACCGUGGCAGUUAAGAAUAAGUGGUCACUGCAGUGUCUUCUCCCUUCAAAAGAUCCAACUGAUGCUGAGGUAGAAAUUGAAUGUCGGCGCCCCCUAGUCUUCCUCUGCGGACUCUUGCGAGGAUGUCUCUUCAGUCUCCUGCAACACAUGGAAGGCAGGUUGUCUGUCAUGUAAACAGCCUCGAAAACCACCCUUGAAGUUUCUGUGAAAACAUUCAACAUCUUGGAAGGGGCGAGCGCCACAGGACAACGGGGUUUCCCAGGAUUCCCUCGCCCCUGCGCCACACGUGGAAGAUCCCCACAGAUGGAUACACAGGACAAAGCCCAGGGAUGGCCAGAAGGAAACACUCAGGAUGAAGAUGCUGGCCUUCUCUACGGAUGCUGUACAGGUCCCCGUACAGCCCAUCCAUCUCUAUCUUCCCACUGUUCUCCCCUCACUCCCAUGGCUCCCUACUAAGGAAAUUCAUACAUUUCUUGCCUUUAAUCCCUUGUCCUGAGUGGUCUCUGUGCUCACCGCCUGAUGCCGUUGGGACUGUGACCACCCACGAUACUCAAUUUUCACCCAUGGUACAUUGCUUUGCUACACGGAAGAAGUUAUUUAGAACAGCUCAUUUCGAGCCUGCUUAUACAUACAAUGUUUAUGCAUAUUUACAUCAAGGCAUCAUUACUAGUCAGAGAUCUCAAUGCUGAGCAUUUCUUGCCCAGCUGGAGAGAGUGCUACAUUCACAGCUCAAAACAAUCCACGCCCCCCAGUGCAGAAUGAGAUUGGCCGCAGAGACUCGGUCCAGCCACCUGACCCAGCCUGACACACACUUUUUGUCUUCUGUAUGGAACACAUUUUCAGAAAGGUUUCUAUGUAAUUUCUAAAUCCUCUCAUUGCCUGGAAGAAAAUUUUUCUUCUCCAAAGCAAAAAAGCCAAACCUCUGUGGCCUGAAAUGUCCAAACGUUGAGAUAAAAUAACAUUUUCUUCUUUUUAACUUGAUUCCCUCAGGUAUUCUGUUAUUGUAAUAGAAAGCUAACACACUUUUUAGAUAUGAUUUUAUCUUUUAUAUAUCUCUUUAUCUUUUUUCUUAUAAAUCAGUUCAUGUGAUGAAACCUAACAAGAAUUAAACCAAGAUAUAAGAACCUAGAUAAUGAGUUCUGAUGAGUCUCAAGUAAAUCAAAGAAAAUGACUGUAGGCUUUUAGGAAUACAAGGAGACCCCAACUCCAACUGACUAGCAAGGAUAUAAAUUUUUGAAUAUAGCCAGCGCCGUGAUGAUACACCUUCCACAGUGGUAAAUUCUGGGAGUCAAAAGUUGCUCAGAGUCCGUCUUUCUACCCUGUUAUCUUUUAUGUCCCCCUCCCUUCUCCCCCUCCGUCCCUCCCUCUCAGAACCACAAGAGUGAGAGGUGUUGAUUUAGUAAUGAAAUGUUCAGCCAAACAGUGGUUCCCAACCUCCCUAAUGCUGCGACCCUUUAAUACGUUCCUCAUGUUGUGGUGAUGCCCCCAACCAUAAAAUUAUUUUUGUUAUUUCAUAACUGUCAUUUUGCUACUGUUAUGAAUCCUAAUAUAAAGGUUUGAUGUGCAGGGUAUCUGACAUGCAGCCCUCUGUGAAAGAGUCAUUUGACAGCCCCACCACCACCACCACCACCACAAAGGAGUCAAGACCCACUAAGCCAGAGGAUGAAAACAAACAAGCAAGCAAGCAACACUAACACACUCUUCCUUCAUGCUGAGCAAAUUUCCCUGUCAGGUAACUGGACCAGUUCCAGCAAGUUAACCCAUUCCAUUCUUGGAAAAAGAUCACUUUGUGUCACCAAACCAAAUGACAAUAAGGAAGGGAGACAGAGGGACAAUGGAGUUUGGCUUCAGUUAAUUUGGCUUCCACUGUGCUGGCCUGCCCGUGGUGGCUGAUGGGAACCCCUUCCUGGCUCUGAAAUCAACUCGCACAGACUUUCCCUUGGAUGUUGCUUUGCUCUGUCCGAUGAGGCAGCAGAACAGUCCCUCUUUCUACAAUGUACAGGCAUUACCUGCUUUACCUUACGGUGAGAUGGCUCUCCUGGCUUGUCUGGGCUAUCCCUGGAAACUGCUGAGUGCAUUCACUUGGUCACGGACUGAAGAGUGAAGGAAGCCAUUCCUGACACCCAGUGAGUGACAGUGCCACUGCUGCCUAAAUACUGGCUGUGACUCAUUUUCCUCUUCAAGGAAUCCCAGAGAUGAUGGGUAGUAAAUAGAUAAAUAAUGCUAGCUUCUGCCCACACUCAAUCUGACAGUGCCGCCAGGCUUUUACUGGGAGCCAACCGGAGUUCUGCUCAGUUACACUGAAGAGCAGAACCCCAGGGCGCACAGGGGCCCCUCCAAGAGGGCAAUAACCACUCUCUUUGUUUUAGGAUGCUCUCCCGACUCCCUGUCAGUUCCGCCAGGAGGAUCCCAACUAUAUGAACAAGCUGUCUGUUGAAAUGAGAUGCUUGUCUCCCUACAGAUGCAGUGGUGUAAAGUCCUUGGCUCUAGAUAACACGCUUUGGUAUGUCUGGGCUUGCUGCCACCUGUGUAUGCACCUCUGAUCUUGGGAGGGAAUGUCAGUGCUGUAACAUUUUUUUUUUUAAAUAAAGGAGGAUGUUUGGGAGGCACUGAUUGUGUUUGCCCUUUCAGGAUGUGGAA
ensembl:processed_transcript 1700006J14Rik RIKEN cDNA 1700006J14 gene